rnacentral:rRNA from 1 species
UACGUAGGGUGCAAGCGUUGUCCGGAAUUAUUGGGCGUAAAGAGCGUGUAGGCGGCCAGAUAGGUCUGCUGUGAAAACUCGAGGCUCAACCUCGAGCUGUCGGCGGAAACCAUCUGGCUAGAGUCCGGAAGAGGAGAGUGGAAUUCCCGGUGUAGCGGUGAAAUGCGCAGAUAUCGGGAAGAACACCUGUGGCGAAGGCGGCUCUCUGGGACGGUACUGACGCUGAGACGCGAAAGCGUGGGGAGCAAACAGG